rnacentral:misc_RNA from 1 species
AAGUCGUAACAAGGUUUCCGUAGGUGAACCUGCGGAAGGAUCAUUAAUGAAAGUCUGGGUCCUCACGGACCCUCUCUCUUCCACGCACUUGUGAACCUUACCCUCCCCGAAGGGCAGCUCGAAGACUUGGCCCUUGGCCUUGACUACAGGUUGUCCCCGAAGGGAAUCAUUUUCCAAACCCAAUCUUAUAUGUCUGAUUCUUGUUUUAAACAAAACUAUACAAAA